rnacentral:rRNA from 1 species
UACGAAGGGGGCUAGCGUUGUUCGGAUUUACUGGGCGUAAAGCGCACGUAGGCGGAUCGUUAAGUCGGGGGUGAAAUCCUGGAGCUCAACUCCAGAACUGCCUUCGAUACUGGCGAUCUAGAGUCCGGAAGAGGUGAGUGGAACUCCUAGUGUAGAGGUGGGAAUUCGUUAGAUAUUAGGAAGAACACCAGUGGCGAAGGCGGCUCACUGGUCCGGUACUGACGCUGAGGUGCGAAAGCGUGGGGAGCAAAACAGGAUUGAG